UAAAUGGCAUCACUGGUGGUUCUUUUUUCCUCUCCGCUAAACUGUCAUCUCAAACAAAAACAAAUGGAUCAUACAACUGCUAUGAAUACAUUCGACUCGUUUGCUUUCAUCAAUCGGUAAGUGAGAAAGAUGAUUUCUCCCAUCACCACAGUGCGGAUUUCCACUUCUAUCACAGCAGCCAACAACAUCCGUUUUCCUGCAGCAGUAACCCCCAACCCCUGUUGGCAAUGCCGGGGGACAGCAUUGACAGCAGCAGCAGCAGAAUUUGACCAUGGUAUGGUAUUGCGAAGAACUUUCCCCAUUAGAGGUUCCGUGCUUCGCGCACAUUCAAAAAUCCUCUUCAGACACGAAAACUCAACGACGAGGAGGUAUUUAUCAACUUGCUCAGCUGAAUUACCACCCGGAGGAACCCGAGUGCACUGAUUCCGUUGUAUAGUAGAAUGAAAAUAGGCGAGGUAAGCGAACGUAAUCGCAUGAUAUUUUAAUGUUCGCAUUUUUAUCCGGAUCAUACAACUGCUAUGAAUACAUCCGACUCAAUCAAUCGGCGAGUGAGAAAGAUGAUUUCCCUCAUCACCACAUUGCUUAUUUCCACUUCUGUCACGCCAGCCAACAGCAUCAGCUUUCCCGCAGCAGUAUCCUUUAAGUCCAGGGUGCUAUUCCGGGGAACAGCAUCAACAGUAACAGCAGCAGGACCUGGCCAUCGAUAGUAUUCCGAGCAAUUUUCCCCAUCGGAGAUCCCGUGCUUCACGCACAUUGAAGAAUCCUCCUCAGCCACAUAUCUGUGUCAUCAAGGGCAAGGAGGUAUUCAUCAAUGUACUCAGUCGGAUUUGAAUCGUCAAUCCAGACAACCCGGAUGCACUGAUUCCAUUAUAUACCUUAUUUUUAUUAUACAUGGAUUUUUAUUAUUUUUUUUCAAUAAAAUAAUUAAAAUCGAUCAAUGUAUUUCCUUUUCAUUUUCAAUAACAAACCAAUACAAACAAGCAGCAAGCAGUGCUGAAAGCAGCGCUGUAAGCAGGUCGACGCCUUGCACAUGUUGGCGAAAAAGUGGUGUCAAGUUGUUCGAUGAAUGCAUAUGAAAGGUCGAUAACUCGAUUGCAAGGUGGCAGCAUUUGAGGUCGAUUGUUGACAUUUCAUCGACCCGAUCUUGGCAGGCAAAACGGAAUGUGGGUUUCCACUGGACAGAAGAGAUACUUCAGUUGGUGCCAAAUGUGUCGAAGAAAUACACAAAAGGGGAAAUGGACAGAUUGA